CAUCUAACUGCUCCGCAAGCAGACUAAUCCAGGAGGUCAGCAAAGCUUUCGGCUAGGAGAGUGAUGAACGAGCCCUUAGUGAGUUCUCUGUCUGUCAGAGGAAACGGAGAAAAAUACUGAGAGAGGGAGAGAG